rnacentral:lncRNA from 1 species
CAUCUAAUGUGGUUGAUGGCACAUAUAAGGAGAGUUUGCACACCCAGGUUCAUCUAAGUACUACCCAUUUCAAAUGCAUCUACCUGUCAGAUAUUUGGAAAAUUAAUUUUAUUUUGUUUAAUUCAUAUAAUCUCUAUGACAAAAUAAGAUUAUGUCAGAAUUUUGAAAGCUAUGAUGGAUUGAUUGAUCGAUUGACUGGUUGAUUGAUUUAACUGAGUGAUUGAUUGAUUGAAAACUAUGGAUUACAAUCACAAAUUGAUCACUCAAAAAUAUGAUAACUAAUUGAAACCUUAGCCUAUUUAUCAUGAUUUUAUUUGAUUAACAGCUCCAUGAAGGUCUCACAUUAGCAUUGAGUAGUGGCAGGCAAAUGCUUACAUUUUACACCAUAAGGUUAUUUGCCAGUCAUUAGUGUUUUGAUCAAGUGACUGAAUGAUCUGAAAACAAUAAAUGGCAUCCUUAAAGUUUGAUAGCAUAUGGACCUGAAUAUGCUAAAGUGGUUCGGUGCGCAUGCUGAUCAUGGUUGCACCGCAUAGCAAGCCUCCAAGCUCUAAAAUAGGCCACGUAGUUUGAAUAUGCAUUGUGAGUUUGUGACAAGAUGAAUGACUCCAGUAGUAGAAGACUGAUUUUUGAGUUUCCUUUUUGGCAAAUUAGUAGCUUAAGUAUAUGUCUUAUUUAUUAACAAGGUGAUGCAGAACGAAAUAACCUCUGAUACCAAAUUNNNNNNNNNNNNNNNNNNGAGAGAGAGGGCAACUCAAUAUUUUGUAUUCCCAAAACUCAAUAAUGUGAAUUGUAUUAUCAAUUAACGUAACAAUAGAUUUAUAUAGACAACUCAAAAUUUUAAUAAAAGUUUGCAUAAAAAUAAAAUACUAGAGUCCUUAUAAAAUUCUAAUUCUAUAGUCUACAAAAUCGUAGUCCUAGAGUCCACAUAAAAAUAAAAUCUUAUUUUCUAAAUAAAUAAAUUUCUAAUUUCUAUAUUUGCACAUAAUAGAAGCGUGCCUAGAUUUUCUAUUGGACGGUCCUCCAUCAGAAGAUACUUUAAGCUUACUCAUAAUUCAUGUGUCCCUGUUGCUCCUUUUUCGCUUUUCAUCAUUCGAUGAUUCCAAAAUUUAUGUGCUAUGUCAGACUACCUGAAAUAUGAGCAUAUGCUCCCAAAUAAGUAUGAAACUAUCAAAUUAGUUGUUUUUCUUAUUUUCUAAAAUAUUACUUGUUUAUUUCCAUUUUCUACUUUUUUAAAUUUUAUGAAUAACUUUUGUUGCUAAAUAUUUCUAAAAUAACACCCACAUAUGCAUCUACAUACCACAUACGCACUAUGCCACAUACCUCAACCAAUUGUUAAGGCAUUGAGAAAGCCAUAUGAGGAAAAUUACUUAUCAAGAAAAUCAUCCAUGGAAGUUAAAUUUGGAAAUAAUAAUCGAAGACAUAAGUGUUGCGGGAUUUUCACCCUGGCAACAGCCCGCACACCGGCCGAGCAGGAAAAGCGACUGCAUCCCCAACGAGGUAUUGUCCGCUCUGGACCCCGCGGGUGCGGAGCUCGCACGAGGUGCACACCCACCUGCAGGCACGGAGCUCGUACAGGGGGCUUGGGCGUCCCUCACGGUUUUGUCCCAAAAGGCGCCUCAGUGAGAAGAGGUUAUUGAGCCCCCAUUUAAGGCACAGAUCUUUCCACUGAUUAGCCGAUGUGGGACUAAAGUUCGGAACCCCAUCCCAUAACAAUAAGCAUCAACGAAAUUAUCAAAGGAGUAUUAUGGAUGGCAACAACCAUCCAAGUAAGCUAUGACUAGAGUUAACCGCCAAGAUUAGUUAUUUAUGGAAGAAACUACAUGCUACUCCCCACUAAAGGAACAACUAGAAUCAACACAUUAUAGAUGACUUCGAGUUAAUUAGCAUAACAACUUUUAGGCUCUUUCAAUAAGGCUUUUUCUAGACCAUAGUGAUCGAUUGGAUUCAGAGCGGAGGAGUCAAGACAGAUUUGCAUCCUCUGGUCUAUGACAUUUGUCGUCUGCUGGAGGAGUUCGAUUCUUUCAGUGCCUUGCAUGUAUUUCGGGAGGCGAAUAGUAUGACAAACUGGGUCGCCUCCUUCGUAGCACACCACACGGGCGUCUUCAUAUGAGGGGCAUUGAAGCAUGUAUCAUUGGCAUUAGAGUGUAUUUUGCACUGUGACUAUUCAGGACAUGCUCACGGCCUUAUGUAGUGAGACGCCAUUACACCAAAAAAAGGAAAAAAGAAAACAAAAGACACAAAACAAAACCCAAAGUAAAAGUAUUAAUCAGUUGAAUCCCAGAAAAUAUCUCAAUCAUUGUAUAAUCAGGUCUCCCAAAGUUUCUGCGGAAACAUGUAUGCAGCCCUUUCCCCACUUAACCUUAGUCCAAGCCCAAGAAAAUUUGCAGAACUUCAACUGUAACCCAUAAGGGAUUCAAAAAAUUUAAAUAUCCACGAGAAAACGAACCCAUACAAUUAUAUACUAAUGCAUGCAAACACAAGCACAAGCGAGGUAACAGUACCACCACUCAGUCACUCACUAAAAAAAUAACAUUUAAUAUUUAUGAUCAAUAAUUCUUGAUUAUGCCACGAACAAGUAUAGACAAAUUCAAAAUGUUUGGAUUCUUCAUAAGAAAAGAAAAGAGCCACCAAGGUGAUAGCACGGAUGGAAGGGUUAAGAUUUCACCGGAGUGACCCAGGUUUGAAAUGCAUGGACGUCAAUUAAAUAUGGAGACCGGAUGUCCUCCACAUGAUUUGCCCGGUAGAGUUGCCGUCUGAUCCGCCGAUACCAAGGUGGCGCUGGGGUGAUCUACUUACACGUAGGUAAUGAACCUAAUAAGGAGAACCGAUGGGUCGGAAAAGAUACGCGAAAAUUUGCAGUCUGCAUCGAACAUUCUUUGUUUGGAAACCAAAGAUUUAGAUAUCGAGGUAUGGAUACGUACGUUGACAUGCCUGAACAUGGGACGAAAUCUUUGUUUGGAACGUUUUUGUGCUUCCAGCACUAAUUGUGUGAAAAAUUACAAAAGGCAAAUGCUGCAUUCAUUAUUAUCUACCAGCAAAUACCAAUGCCCCCCUUAACAACCCCCAACCAAGAAAUUCUAUAAGUUUGAAUAAUGUAACAAAUUAGAGCAAAAUAAAACCCAUAAAAAAACAACAAAAUCAGAAGCCAGAUGACUUGCCUACUUUUCCGAUUGAAUUUGUUUUCUUUUCAAAAGAAAGGGAUGAAAUCACCAUUUUUUUUUAAAGUUUAAGCUCAUUGAAUGAGAUCGAUUUAUUUAUAUAUUUUAUAUUUUCUUACACCCCUCCUCACAUGUGAGCUAGAUUUUUUUUUAAUGGGUAAGCCCAAUAUGUAGAAUUUUUAAUAAUGAUGUUAAAGAGUGCCGCUCUGAUACCAUGUUAAAAUCAUCAAUUAUUUCAAAAAUUUACACUCAUAAGAUGAGGUAGAUUUAUUUAUAUAUUUUAUAUAUUCUUACAGCAACAUCAGACAUUGAUAUAGUUUCGAGUUUCAAAUAAACUCUAGAACGGAGAAACUCGAAAGAGCACAAUCGAAGAGAUUUUGGCGUAAAUAUCACGACGAGCAAUUACAAAUAACCCGUUGAAAUGUGAAAAAUGAGAAAAAAAAAAUCAAAGAAAGGAGCGUAAAAUGAGUAAAAAAAGAGAAAGAUAAAGUUAGGAUUCUUACGACCAAAACAAGGCUGGUUGGAGUUUGGGACAAUACGUUUCCCAAAGUAGUAAAAAUGUGGAGAAAGAAAGAAAAAUAGUGCGAUCAGAAGACGAGGUGGUAGAUCAGUAGAACUGGGCUUUACUUUCAACCAAACGGUUCCGAGUUCGAAACAUACGGACAUGAUUAAGUUGUGGAGACCAGAUGGAUGCUCCCUGCUCGGACGCGUAGUUUAGGAAGGUUUAUUGGUCCGCUGGUAGCCUCGGUGGUGCUAGAUGUGACAUACUCACACGGAGGGUAACCGUGCCGGAGCCCAGAGGGGUAACGAGCCAGGCCCACGAGUGGGGAGGGUAUGAGUUAAACCGGCUGGCGUGCCUAACACACGGUCAUUUCUGACCACAUCGAAUAUUCUUCUGGUGGGGUGAGAACUGUUACACGGAGGUGGGCUUGUCCCUUCCUCCCACCCUUCUCCUUUUCCUAAGCAAAAAAAAAAAACACUAGGAGCAAAUGGAGCCCACCUAGGUGGCCAGUUGGGACUUCACGCCUCGAAAGGCCACAUGGCACAGCCAUCGAGGAACCGAGAUGCCCCUUCGGAUGUGGGAAUUGGAGAAUUCAUAGGCUCGUGGGCUUUGUGUGGUUGGGGUAUGUAAGAUUAAUAGUAAUUAUUUAUCUAAAAAGUUAUUAUAAAAAAAUACUAAUAUUUAUUUAAUAAAUAUUACUAAUUAUAGUACAUUAAUAUAAUAUUUCAAUAUAUUUAUAAUAUAUUAAUAUAAUAUUACUAAUAUAAUAUACGUGGGCAUAUUUUCGUCAAAUAAUGAUAAUAUCUGGUGUAGAAAAACUACCACCUGUCUAGUAGCAUUUAGUUUACCUUAUUUCUCAAUAAAAUAGGCAUCGAAUCCAUCAUUUAUUCAACUAUCUGUCUUAUUCUUAUUUCAUUCCAAACAUAUUAAUCUGACAUAAUUAUUUUUAGAUUACCUCCAACCAAAAUGGACCAUUAACGUUACCAAAAUAAUCCAAGUCCAUUCACCAAGUUUAUAUUAAUAUCUACCUUCUAUUCUCCUACCAUCCAAAUCAAGGUUGCUCCUAGCUAUUUUAUCGCAUAUAAGUCCAACCCACAUUACCCUUAAGUCUAAAUUCAAUGAAUAUGACCAUGCUUCCAGCCUAAAAGUUAGAAGGGGUGUCAAGUGAAGGAUAACAAGUAGCCAACAUGGGCUCUCGUAUCUGGCUUCGACCACAUAUUUAUUAAUAACAAAGGUCACAAAUCUUUGAAGAAAAAUAUGGAUAGCUCUUUGACCAUUAAUACUGUUAAAAAACUCUUUCAUUACGAGACUCAAGUUACAUUUGGUUUCUAGAUAAAACCUAUUUAAGCCCCACUUAUCCACUUAACCAGCCAAACAACACACUUUUUGCAUGAUUAACUUUAGUCAAUCAAAGCAUUUUAACCACCAAAUCAUGGUUAAACUUAUUUCAAGAGCAUGUAGGAGUAACUUUAACUAGUUGGUUAAGCUCCCUAGCUCCCAAAUUUUAUGUCCAAACCAUCCUUGGUAAUUAAAAUCCUCGAACUUUUCCUACCGUUUACUCAGCUAGGGUUCUCUUAGGUUGUAGCGUGUGACUCGAUAGGUAGCUAUAGGUCAUCGUGGUCUCUAAAUUGGCCAUUGUUGGCAGUUGUCGGUGACCUAUUCUACCUUCUUCCACACCCAUCCUCUUUCAUGUAGUGGUUUGCUUGAUGCCAUGGUCACCGAUAUCGCUCGAUUUCAACUCCGACUCCUCGGCCCCAAUCUUCUCUUUUAUCUAGUGGUUUACUUAAUGCCACGAUCUUAUGAAUCCAAGUGAGCAUCCAUGAAUCUCAUUUAGUGUUUGCGCAAUUUGUUAUGGUGAUCAGCUUCGUGCCAUAGUGAUUUUGAUGAAUGCAUUGAAUCUUUUUGUUAAUGUUAUAGUGUUAAUUGCAAGCUAGAAUACUAUUUCCCUUCUCAAGAUGUUAUGGAAAAGAGAAUAGGUUAAUGACCGGGUCAGGUAAAUAGGUUUAAUCAUCUUGAAUUUCAAGGAAUUUAACUAUUGAAAUGUUGCCCACUUGGAGAGGGCGAUAACUAAAUUCUAUGUUAUUAGAGAUAAAAGAUAGGUAGAAGGAAAGAGAUAAAAGAUAAAAGAUGAACUAGUCUAACUAUUCAACCGCUAUUAUUGCUGCUAUUGAAAGAUAGUUACUGUGGAUCCCUUAUCUUUUUACAAUUUCAUAUUUAUAUACUACAUUCUCUUUACCAACUUCUAGAAUAAGUGUUUCUCUCAUUUUAACAUGAGUCCCUGUUUGUUACCGCUACUCUCUCCAUUUUCUUCUCUGUUGGUUGCUAGUAAUAGUUUUAGUGAUCAUAUUUAAACUACUUGGACUAGUACCAUUGCCUAACUCAUAGGCACCCAUACCCUUCUUGUGCAUUUUCAACCUAAUUUAUCCAAGUGGUCAGCUUCAGUUUAUCCUUUGAAUCCUCUUGAUUCAGCCUACUGCCCUUAGCUGGAAUCCCUUAAUGGCUGACCCCCUUCUCCAUCUAGGUCAAUUGACCUACUUAUGACAACGCCCACAUAGUGCUUGCAUGAUUGUUUUGGAGUGGUCUAUGAUAUUGCCACAUGCCAUUUUCAUAAUAUAUCUGAAGAUUCCAAGCAUCAGUUGAGACAUGGUUUAGACACAUGAAAUUUAUGUUAAUUAGUAUGGGCAUAUAGAAUUUUUUUAAUACUACCGAGGGUCGUGUUGCAACUUAGACAUCCUUUAGGCAACCGUUGCAACCACGGGUUUGAUUCUAAGCGCCCUUGCUUAGGUUAUGCUUCCUAUUCAUAUAUUUACAGAGUAGCAAUGAUGCUUGAAUGGUUAGUAGGGAGCAAUGUUUAGAAUGCCUCUAUAGGUCCUCACAUACUUUCCUCGUUCGAGCUCUGACGUCUUUAUUAAGCUAAGGAUUCAAAUUCAUUCAAAUCUAAUCACAAACACCACAAUCGACCCAUAGUCAGCCUCUAUGAACCCAUGCUACAGUGUCUUCUAGUCUACAUAGGCUAUGGGCCGAAUUCACUCUAAUACCAUUUGUCACAACUCAGGAUGUCACUCAAAACAGCAACCCAGAAGGUAUUAUUUUUGAGUUCUUUAGUCCUGUAUAAAUACCCCAAGAUCUUUUCAGCGAAUAAUCGAUGUGGGACUAAACACAUACCCGCACGGAUCCUCAUAACAGCUAUUUCCAACUAUAUUGGACGACUAUAUAACUGAAAUGCAUAUAAUGGAUGAAGUCCUUAGUCAUUUUCAUACAAGUAGAGAUUUUACACAAGGAUAUUGAGGUCCAUAUAGCACAAAAGUGAGCCUUAACCAUGCUUUUUGCAACCAAACACCAUUUCUACCAUCCCAGCAAAGGUGUGCAGUUAACUAUAGACCGCAGGCAAACAAUACUUUCCAUGGUUAACUAGUUAAGUGAUGGUUAUUGUUUCUUUAUUUUUGUCACCACCUGAUUAGUUAUCUAGGAACCAAAAACAACCUCAAUGUGCAUCCAAGAUUGCAAACUGUUAGCCUAGAUGCACAAAUAUAAUUGUAAAUUAAAUAUUUCUAAUAUUCAAAAACAAUAAUUAAGAAGAAUAAACUAGCAAAUAAUUAGCUUAACAAUAUAAUAAUAAAAUGAAGAAAGAGAGAGAAGAUGGCCUGUGGAUCGAAGCACGCUGAUGCGUUGUCUCAGGAAAGUUUAUGCCCCCCACGCAUGGGUCUGCUGGCACAGAUCUCCUAGAGAUACGAUGACCCAAUACAGAACUACGUCUUCCCCAUCAGUGCGCCUCCAAAGAAGAAAAAAGAGCACGUUCACGCUUGCAUAUACCUCAAAAGAAACUUAGAAAAAUUAGGAGAAGAAAAAUUUUCUUUAUUUCUUUUCUCUCCAAUGAUCCCUAGAGCCCUUUUUAUCUAGACUCUUGGAAUAGGGAGAAGAAAAAAUUUUGAUUGUUCUUUGAAAUGAUCCCUAGAGCCCUUUAUAUAGGCUCAGGCGCGUUAAAAGAAGAAGAUUCCUCUUCCGCGGAUUGAUGACGUGUCUUCUUGUACUCCUUUGAUCCUUCGGCUUAUUGCAUCUUGGCCGUCCACGUUUCCUUCCUUCUUCGAGGGGCCUUUCCAUGCUUGCUCUUGCGCUGGAUGCAUGACACUUGUCAUGGUUUGCUUUCUUUGGAAAUUUUUCCAUAUUUGCUCUUGCGCUAGAUGCUUGCUACUUGGCCGUUGACUAAUUUAGUUUUCAAAAUUUUAAAAUAUUUAAUUUAAUUCAACAAUCCCCCACAUAAAUUAAAUAUUUAAAAAAAUUUAAAAUCAAAAUAAAAUAAAUAAAUAAAUAAAUAAAAAUAAAAUAAAAUGCUGAGUAUCUUAUAUUAUGUAUUAGGUGUAGGUACCUUUCGGUUUGAACCUUCACUUAGUGACAAUUGAUUACCUCUGUGGAGCCAAGGUGGACUAUGCCUUAAACCUUGGUCCAUGGCUCACAUUUCAUCAACAGCACACAUAAUAUAACGUGAACAUGCUCGAAGCGGGUUUGCGCUUCACGGCCAUGCCCAGGUAUCUCUUCAUGUGUGUUAUUAGGGAACAACCCACUUCCCACAGUCGCGGCCUCACGACUACACGCAUAUAGGUGAAUCCUAAAAAGGAUACGAGCAAGUAGGUACCCUGCCUCAUAGGUCUCGGAUUCAUUAAGAGUAAAAACUCAACCUAACUCUUGCUUUUUAUGAGCACUGUUGCCCUAAGAAUGGGAAAAAUAAAUAGUGCUCCUCAUUAGUCACCUAUUUAGCUUGUUUCUACCCAUUGAACCUUUUCAAGUUGGGUUAGUGAAAGUGGUAACUCCGUUACCUCUUUCACUCCUCUAGAACACGGAAUUUCAGAAUUCCGUGUUCCGCCACCGUGGUGACUUAUGGGCUUAGCCCCAUCCCCCUCGACAACUCUAGAGCCACUGUUCUAGACAAUCCUUUGGUAAGCUGAUCAGCUAGAUUUCUUUCGGAUCUUACAAAAUUUAGUGCAAUCAAGUUAUUCUUUAAUUUAUAUCUCAAUGAUUUAUGGCGCACUUUCAAGUGCCUAUUCAUUUUCACAUUUGCAUUUUCUUGAUUGCAUUUAUCUAUAGCAGAUCUGCAGUCACAAUGAAUAGAUAUAGAAGGUAAUGGUGAAGUCUAAAGAGGUAAAUCUAUCAGUAGAUCUCUAAGCCACUCGGCCUCAAUGCUAGUGGUAUCUAGGGCAAUCAUUUCAGAUUCCAUGGUGCUCCUAGCCACUACAGUUUGUUUAGUAGACUUCCAUGAUACAGCUGCACCUCCUAAAAGGAAGACAAAACCAGUGGUGGAUUUGGUGUCAAAUGUAUCACUGAUCCAGUUGGCAUCACUAUAACCUUCCAGAACAGCAGGAUAACCACAAUAGUGUAAUCCUAGAGAUAUGGUACCCUUAAGGUACCUGAGAAUUCUUUCUAGAGCAGUCCAAUGAUCAGUAUUAGGAUUGUGAGUAUAUCUACUCAGUCGGUUCACAGAGUAUGUAAUAUCGGGUCUAGUAUAAUUCGCAAAAAAUCCUAAAGAACCAAUGAUCUGGGCAUACAAGCUUUGAUUGACUGGAUCACCUAAGUUCUUCUUUAGAUGAAGAGUUGGAUUAUAAGAAGUAGAUACAGGAUGACAAUCAGAGUAGUGAAACUUUGUAAGAAUUUUCUCCACAUAGUGGCUUUGGGACAAAGUUAUUCCAUUUUCAUUCCUCAUGAUUUUAGUAUUAAGGAUUAGGUCUGCUUCUCCUAAAUCUUUCAUGUCAAAUUUUAGAGAUAAAAAUUGUUUUACUUCAUUAAUAAUUUCUAAGUCUGUUCCAAAAAUUAGGAUAUCAUCUACAUAUAAACAUAAGAUUAUAAUUUUGUUAUUCUUCUUUUUAUAAUAUACACAUCCAUCUAUGUUAUUAAUUUUAAAUCCAUUAGUUAGGAUUAUUUCAUCAAAUUUAAGGUGCCAUUGUUUGGGGGCUUAUUUUAGAUCAUAAAGAGAUCUAAUCAACCUACAUACCUUUUUCUCUUGACCUGAGACAAUGAAACCUUCGGGUUGGUUCAUGUAGAUCUCUUCAUCUAGGUCCCCAUUCAAGAAAUUGGUUUUAACAUCCAUUUGAUGUAUAACCAGCUUAUGAAUGGAAGCCAAGGCAACAAGAAUUCUAAUGGUAGUGAUUCUAGCUACAGGGGCAUAAACAUCAAAGAAGUCUAUCCCAGAUUUUUGAGUAAAACCUUUGGCUACUAACCUAGCCUUAUAUUUGUCUACAGUUCCAUCUGGCCUAAGUUUCUUCUUAAAGAUCCAUUUACACCCUAUAGGUUUACUUCCUGGGGGUAGAUCUGCAAAUUCCCAAGUGUGGUUUUGGAUUAUGGAUUGCAUUUCAUUAUCUAUUUCUUCUUUCUAGAAGGGGGCAUCUAGAGAUUUCAAGGUAUCCUCUAAAGAAGUAGGAGAGUCUUCUAUUAGGAAUGUGUAGUAGUCUUCUCCAAAGUUCUUUUCAAUUCUAGUUCUUUUACUUCUUCUAGGUUCAGUUUCUUCUUCUUCUUCUCUAAAUCUGGUUCUGCUAGAACUAGUUCCUAAAUUAUUAUUGGUAUUUAUUUGAUCAUUUAUCCUUAUUUUAAAAGAAAAUAUACUUUCAAAGUAUAUUGCAUCUCUUGCUUCCAUUAUGGUGUUGUUAUUAAUUUCAUUUAUUUGAGAGUUAAAUACUAAAAAUCUAUUAGCAUUACUCUCAAUUGCAUAUCCUAUAAAUAUUGCAUCUACAGUUGUGGGUUCAAUUUUCUUUCUUUUAUUUUCUGGAAUUUUUACUUUAGCUAAACACCCCGACACUUUUAAGUAUUUUAAGUUAGGUUUUCUAUAUUUCCAAAUUUCAUAUGGAGUUUUAUCAUUAUGUUUGAAUGGAAUUCUAUUCAAGAUAUAAGAUGUAGUUACUAGUGCUUCCUCCCAAAGAUUUUCUGGUGCUCCUGAACUAAUUAACAUAGAGUUAACCAUAUCCAUUAAGGUUUUGUUCUUUCUCUCAGCUACUCCAUUAGAUUGGGGUGAAUAAGGAGUUGUUACUUCAUGAAUUAUCCCAUGUUCUUUACAGAACUGGGUCAGCUCAAAUGAGGUAUAUUCACCUCCUCUAUCAGACCUUAAGAUUUUAAUCUUUUUAUCUAGUUGGUUUUUAGCUUCUGCUUUAUAGACUUUGAAUUUAUUUAAGACCUCAUUUUUAGCUUUGAUAAGAUAAAGGUGACAGUAUUUAGAAAGAUCAUCUAUGAAAGUUAUAAAAUAUUUGUUUCUACCCCUGAGGUUUUUCUUGAGUCACAUAUAUCACUAUGUAUGAGUUUAAGAAGAUCAGAAUCUCUACUUACAAAGUGGAAGGGUUUUUUAGUAAUUUGGCCUCUACACAUAUCUCACAUUUGUCAUUAUUCUUAAAUUCUAAUUUUGGGAUUAAGUUCAAGUGCAUUAAAAAGCAAAUACAAUGACCAAAGAUGUAUCCUCACAAAAGGCUAUGACUCCCUUAUGUAGACUUAAGACUCAUGUGCCAUACAUAGCUUAUUGGCAGGAUAAUUGAACUACUUCCUAAUCAGCCACAUGGGGGAGAAAUUCAAAUUCAAAUUCAAACUUCUCCCAUGCAGGGCACAUGCUGAAAUUAAAUGGGGAAGGUGAGCAAAUGGGUUAGACCUAUUAUUGACUUUAGUAGUACUCUCACCAAUGGCUGAAAUCAAGCCUAGGGUGGUGAACUAGAACCGCAUUUGAUUCCGCCACCUCCUAAAGUUUUGACCAUCAAACUUUUCAGAUUUAGCACUAAGAUUUUCAGAUGUGUGGGAAGCCAUUAAUUUGUAGCUUAACACAGUUUUGACACUUGUGGAAAUGAGAAGGUUUAUAUCAAAUUAUUGCACUGAUAUCUAAUUUGAACUUUAGAUGUCUAAUUGAAAAAUCCAAAAAAUAACAGCCAGAUCAGCUCCAGAUCGGUGGUGGAGCACUUGGCUCACUUAAGUACCAGCCUUUCUUAGGCACGUAUGCCUUUUUGACAAGCUUUUCUUAGACACCGUUAUUCAAUAGAUAAUUUCACUUGAUAUCGUUCAAUUUUAUCCUAAGUGCAAUAUUAAGUUAGCUCUUAUGAAUUAACCAAUUUUCGAAUUUCUGUUUGAAUGGAAUCUGAAAAUUACUCCGUAGGAGUCCAAAUGGAGGUAUUAAUAAACCUCUUGGAGGUUAAGCAAUCUAAUAUUUUGCUUGAAAAAUUAAGUACUAAAGUAAAGCUUUAACAGCUAAAAUAGAACAAUUUAUAAUUAUGCAACAAAAUAUAUAAUAAAUGUCGCAAUUUAAAAUCUAGUGCUAACAGCAUAUAAAUUUUCCUGAAUUGUUAGCCUAGAUGCACAAAUAUAAUUGAUAAAUUAAAUAUUUUUAAUAUUCAAAAACAAUAAUUAAGAAGAAUAAACUAGCAAAUAAUUAGUUUGACAAUAUAAUAAUAAAAUGAAGAAAGAGAGAAGAUGGCCUGUGGAUCGAAGUACGCUGAUGCGUUGUCCCAGGAAAGUUUAUGCCCNNNNNNNNNNNNNNNNNNNNUAAGAAGAAUAAACUAGCAAAUAAUUAGUUUGACAAUAUAAUAAUAAAAUGAAGAAAGAGAGAAGAUGGCCUGUGGAUCGAAAUACGCUGAUGCGUUGUCCCAGGAAAGUUUAUGCCCCCCACGCACGGGUCUGCUGGCACAGAUCUCUUAGAGAUACGACAACCCAAUACAGAACCACGUCUUCUCCGUCAGUGCGCCUCCAGGGAAGAAAGAAGAGCACGUUCACACUUGCAGAUACCUCAAAAGAAACUUAGAAAAAUUAGGAGGAGAAGAAAAAUUUUCUUUAUUUCUUUUCUCUCCAAUGAUCCCUAGAGCCCUUUUUAUCUAGACUCUUGGAAUAGGGAGAAGAAAAAAUUUUGAUUGUUCUUUGAAAUGAUCCCUAGAGCCCUUUAUAUAGGCUCAGGCGCGUCAAAAGAAGAAGAUUCCUCUCCCGCGGAUUUAUGACGUGUCUUCUUGUGCUCCUUUGAUCCUUCGGCUUAUUGCAUCUUGGUCGUCCACGUUUUCUUCCUUCUUCGAGGGGCCUUUCCAUGCUUGCUCUUGCGCUGGAUGCAUGACACUUGUCAUGGUUUGCUUUCUUUGGAAAUUUUUCCAUAUUUGCUCUUGCGCUGGAUGCUUGCCACUUGGCCGUUGACUAAUUUAGUUUUCAAAAUUUUAAAAUAUUUAAUUUAAUUCAACACAAACCUUGAAAGCCAAUCCAUGCUCCCGGACAGAGUCAUGACAUUUUUAAUUGUACCUAAUAGUUGAGAUGGGCAUAUUUAUAUUUUAUUAUACACUUUACUCGAGAGUAGGGCUAUGAGUACAUCCAAACUCAAUAAGAAAAAUUGAGUUUGAAUUUAGAUUCGAAUCUAUCAAAAUGAGUAAGCUUUUAAUCAACAUCCAAGCUCAAUUAGGUAAUCAGCUUUGAGUUUAGAUUCAAGUUCUUUUGAGGUGAAAUUUUGUACAUGAGUUCUGUAGCCAACGAACCAAAGUUUUACCUAUUUCCAAAACCUAAAGCACACUUAUCAUGAUAGUGAUCCAUAUAGAAUAAAUUAGUGGUCGAUUGAGGCACGAGAAAGAGCAUGAACUAGGCAACAAACGGAUGAUUUUGAAAAAAUCCAAUCGCUUUCGAAAUACAUUUAAAUUUAUUGAAGCAUAAUUAAAGUUAAGUAUCGGCUAGAUUUUGGAACUAAAGUUACAAUAGGCGGGAGAUAAAGAGAGGAUGAAUGAGAAAAAGAUGCAGAUCUAAAAAUGAAGAAAAGAAGUUAAUGCAUGCAAAUAAUUUUCUUCAUAUUCCUAUAUUUAUAUAUACUACUUAUACAUAGGCAUCAAGUUCUCGAAUUCAAAUAAGGCUACAUCUGAGUUUCAUCCAAUAAGAAAUUGGAUCCUAGACAUAGAAUCCAGCUUCGAUGCAAUAAGAUAAUCAAAAACUUAAUUUAGAUUAUACUUGAUUAUUAUAAAAUAAUCCGGUCGGAUUAUUAACUUUUUGGGUAUCAUUUGCACCCCCACUUGAGAGUACAUAUGAGGAAUAUAUAUUUAUCAAGGGCCUGUUUAGGUAAAUCAUGCCUGAUCCGACUGUGGGAAGUGAAAAAAGAUCUCUUUCCGUGAACCCCAAUGCUCUCUUUUCUUCCAAUUUUGCUUUGAUGGUCUUCCUUUGCAUGUCCCACCAAAUCUGGCAGGAUGUUGUCAAACAAGCCCUAGAAGAUAAGUAGUUUAUAACAAGGUUUUGAGAUGGCUAGCAUCUUCAAUGGAGAACAGCAACGUAAUAGUAAUUGAAGAUUUUGGUUUUCUUAUUUCAUAUUUGCCAUGAGGGUCUACAUCUAGUUUGAUCUUUCCGGAGUCAAUUUAGCUCCAUCUUUGUUUCUCAAAUUUACUUCAUUCCAUAUGUCUAAAAGGAUGUGAGCAUCCAUCUUGAAUGGAAGAUGGUCUUAAAGAGUUCGCUUUAUACGACAGUACAAAAUAUAAUUUAGUUGAUACGUGAGAAAAGCCUGUAAAUUUUUCAUGAGAAGUUAGCAUACAAAAUAUACUGCAAUAUUUGCUUUUCUUUUUUUUAAAAAAAAAACUUAAGUGUGUUAGUCAGCACUCUCUCUCUCUCUACUCUUGCUAGUAUCUUGGAUUAUGCAUACGAAUCUAAGCUUGCAUCAUAGACAUCAAGGGAAACAUGAUCUGGAGAUGUAUGGGGUAAUUCAAACUAUUUCAUAUCAAAUUCAUUCAAAUUGAUGGUGAAAUUCUCAAGUUAUCACCUUUUUCAUAGAAUCGAUCAUACCGACCAUGACCAUAUGAGCACAGCAAAAAACGCCCACAUUGAACCAGUCAAAAUAUCACUGCAAACUUGAGAUUUUUAUUGCAAAUAACAAAUCCAAACUGCUUCCAUCCCUUGGAAGCAGUUUUUUCUACGUUCCUAUAAUACAUUCAUUAUAUAAUCAUAAAGAACAAAAUAAAAUUUACAAUGCAGAUUGAACAUGACACACAGGUAAGUAUUUAAAGUAUGGUUAUUAAGCCAACACGAAUACCGACCUAUUCCAGAAUCGGAUCACUAAUUCAACUAGAUUUAUAUUAAAAUAUUAAAAAUUAAAAAUAUUUAAGACAAAACAUAAUAUAAAAAUAUUAAUAUUUUUUGCAGCAAAUAUCAUUAUUACUUUUUAAUUAUAGCAUAAAUAAAAAUAAUCAUGAAUUAUCUAAUCUAGGCGAGCUUGUAAGAAAAAUUAUAUGUGAAUAUAAGAAUAAAUAGAAGUUAAUUUUUCAAAAAAAAAUUAAUUGAAUAGCCUGAAUAUAUUUGAAUUAAGUAAAAUAGCUCCUCAUAUAACAUAGGAAAGAAUGUUGUAGCUUGGUGGUAGCUUGGUGGCUGAGGACUUGCCAUUCAAACAAUCCUAGAUUAUACAAUUCAUAUUUCAGAAUCAUUUUUCUGAAUUUUUUACUGGAUAUCCAGAUACUAAAAGUAUUUAAAAUAGAUGUGGUUGGAUUUUCUGAAAGCACUGAAGAAUGUUUGCAAAGUUACCAGAAUUUAUAUUCACUUGCAUUAAAGAUCUAAAUCAGUAUUGCAGGUGCAUGCCUUGACUCAACAUGUGCGACUAUAUCUCUCCUGUUUUAAGAGUGAAAAAUGCUUUAUAAAUUCAAUGAGCUUAAUGACAUUCAGAAAGUGAUGCCAGAAAAUAAUAAAAAUAAUCACAUCACAACCAAUAUUAAUCAGAUACACUUUAUUCAUCAAACAGCAAUGAGUACCAAAAGUAUCUCAUGUUGGUGUUGACUCUUACAAUGGCUUCCUGAAUAAAAAAGUUGCAAAUGAAUGUUUCCGCUAGCAAUAGAAAUUUCUAUCAGUCUUACGACUGAUUCUGCAAAAUUUCAAAUAACCUGUUGGAAGGACUGAAAACUAGAGUUUCUAUCUCUUGUCAUGUAACAACAAGCAAGCCUAGAGGCAACAGCACAAGUAUUUUCAAAGAUCAUCCGGGGAAGCACCGAAACAUUGAAGAUGUUCUUUAAAUAAGAUAAAGUAUGUCUCCUUUGAUAAUCAGCAGACUCAGUCUUUGGUUCCAUUACUCAGGUACAAGUCAGAUCCUUCAGUCUUUCCGCUGUCUUUACCAUAUAAAUUUAACAUGUUGAACUGCCCAUGUGAAAUUUUGCAGCAGAGCACAAUCUACAAUAUGAGAGAGAGAGUGUGGGCUAGGAAAUAAGGAAAAAUUUCCUACACCCCUACAGAUAUUGGAGAAACAAAGCUUGACACGAUCAAUUGUACCUAGGAAUAGCUACCGACAUGAUUAACAGAUGAUCACAAGAAGAUACAAGCAAAGAAAGACAAGAAGCAUUUAGACCAAAAUAUUACAGGAAGCCAUUACUGGGAAGGGGAUGGAGAGGGGAAUUGGUACAAUUGGAGCAAGUAUUCUACACGAAGGACAAACAAGGAAAGAGACUCCCUGCUAAAAGGCACAUGGGCUUGCAAUGCCAAGGAGACAUUUCCUAUUUUUUACUGAAAAUGAUAUGAUGCAGAUUUAAAAGGUGAAGCGUUGGAAAUUUAGGAAAUUGAGAAAGCCUUGAAUUUGCCGGCAAGUGAGAAACCCAGCUCUUCGUGGAAAGAAUGUACAUCUCCAGCACUGGAACUCAUUUUACAGAGAAAUUGUCAUAAUCCUGUAGACUAAGAAAAAGAAGAAACUUGCCCCAUACUUGAACUGGUAUGAGAUGCCUCUGCCUCCAUAGUUUCAUCACCAGAACCUAUCUGCCGAGAUUCUGACAGUGAAAGUCGUCUGGAGUCUCUGGACGAAAUGCCAGCAUCAGCAGGCCCUUCCGAUGAUGAGGUUAAUGCAGGAGGUCCUGAUGAUGAUCCUAUUAGACGCCUCGGGGCAUCAGCUGUAGAGGAUGUUGAAAUACCAUACGUGAAAGUUCCCAUGGGAUGGUCAAAUUUACAAUUAGGACCAAAUUUGCAGAUACCAUAUCGAGCAUAAAAGACGCACAAGGGUUCCCCCUGUUGGAAGCAGAAAUUCGGUAAUAACUUACAAUGCCCUUCCCAGAUAAAAAAAAGAAGUGCGGAAAGAAACUUCCCAGCAUAAAAAAAUCAUGAACAUCAGAUCUAAGUCAUCAUAUAGUAUACACAAAAAAACUCAAAACCCUUGAAAACCAAAUAAAUACAAAGAACUAAAUGUGUUUUCGAUCAGACUAGAUAUAUGAUACAUGCACAUAAACAACAUUUGUAAUAAAAGUCACUAGAAGCCUUUGCAUUCCUUGAUUUUAUUUCAACCAUUAUCCCAUUACAUGUCAGUUUGAAAGCAAUUUCAUAUAAAAAAGUUAGAUUCAAACAAAACUUGAUCGAGAUACAAAGCAACUGCAUGGCUAGUAUAACUCAAAGUUGAUUAUCUAUAACUAUUUGGCUUGUACCAAAGCAAGAAAAAGACACCCUCAACAUUAAAACGCAGCCUUUUCAGUUAUCAUGACAAAAUAAUGCAAGAAAAGAAUAACAUGCUAGGUAACUGCAACGUAACCAGUUAAACCUAUCAUGGAUGCAGGAUAUCAAGAUUCAAGAUAAUGAUGACCAGUGGACUCAAACUUCUCAUCAAACCAUUAAGAAUGUGUAUGGAUGCAAACUCAACAACAAGACACCAUAUUAAAGAUCUGACUCGUUGAAAUAUAUGAUCAACAAGACUGCUUGUGUCACGAGCUUCAUAGAAGAAAUAAGCUGAUAAGUUUAAAAAUAACAAGAGCAGUUCAUGGAGAAACAAUAGGAGGAGAUAAAUUGAGACUUGUGAUACAGAUACAAACUUAAAUUACAGGUUGUAGGCUAAAGUGCUUUUAAUAUGCAAUUUCAGUAUUAACAUUAUAGAGAUGAAAUUAAAACUAAUUGUAUAAAAUGAGUUUAUUCAUAAAUUAGUACAUAUCAAUUUUUUUAUUAUGUAAGAUCUGCUCUAAACAUGAAGAGUGGCAUGCACACACAACACACACUCGUUGAAUUUUAUGUUGUAUGUAAAUAUCCUCUAAAUUAUGCAGGCUUAUUCAUAUGCCAUUAUUAUCGAGGGGGCUUAUGCAACAAGAUACCGACAUUAAUAUAUUUCUUAAUGUUAAAAUUGAGAGGCUUACAUGUAACUUGAAUUCUAUGAGCUUCAUAUGAUUAUCCCCUGUCAAAACUUGGUAACUUUUUUCUAGUAAUACAAUUCAUUAGGGGAUUUCAUGCAGGAAGAUUGGAGACAAACCAAGAGUGCAGCAUUUCGAGGGUGUUUGGUUGGAAAUAAAUUUUGGAAGGGAUAUCCCUUGUACUGUUGAAGAGAUUGGCCUACUCUGUCGAAUAUAUGCAUUUUAGCAUUUGGUCCAAGGAAUAAGUGCAGAGAAUAAGUGGAGGGAAUCAGAUGAAAUUUAAUGAAUAUUGAAUUUCAAGAUGCCUUGGAUUUUAUCACAAAGAUGAAAUUGCCCUCCCACGUUUUUAUGUGCUUAUAAAGUGAAUAAGGGUAAAAUGGUAAUUGAUAAGAAUAGGGGCAAGCCUAUUCCGCAAUAUGUCUAUUCCACCAUUUUUGUGGAAAAGUACCCCCAUGUGGUAUAAGCCCCGACUCCAUGGCCCCUUUUGGUGUUUGGCAAGGAUAUCCCCCCAUUGGAGGGGAUAUCCCCCUACUUCUUCCACAACCAAACACUCCCUUAGAGAAUAGACUUUAGUUAUAUAGUAGCAUAGAAGACGCUAUUUUUGACCAUACUCUAAAGCAUGAAUACUUUGCUUAUGUGUUAUUAUUUACAAGGGGAUAUCAUGAAGAUAGGGUAUUAACAAACAGGUUAAUUUUUAAAAUUUAGGGUGCUUAUAUUAAAGGUUCGAUGUGAUUACCCACUUGAACACUAAAAGAACUUUCCAACUUAUACUAUAAUUAGCCAAAGGGUUUGUGGAGUAACAGUGAAGACACUAAUCAUGCUGCAGAUGGAGGUUGGAGUUUCAGUUAUAAUAGAAUAGAAACUAAUGAAUAUUUCACUAUUUAAAUGUAUCCAUCUAUAUUUUAGAACAAGUAAAUCCAUAUAGAAUGGAAAAACAACUUGCAUGCACAUGGAAUAUGGAGUAUGUUGUAAAUGUACAAUCAAAUAUAAUACAGUAGAAAGACAUCCAUACACAGCGUCAUUUCAUAGAAAAUCAAUGAAAAUGGUCAAAGAAGUUUCUUCAUGUACAGAAAAUGGUACUAGAUAAUGUCAUUUCACCUAUCAAAAGCUAUAUAGACACAGGACAAAGACAACACCCAGCGACGUCAUAAAUGUAGAAGUAACUAGAUAUGGUCCUAGACAUGCACAAAUCUUUAAUCGAAACCUAGAUUAUGGAGGUCCGCUAGAUCAUGUCAUGGCAUCUUUCAUAGGCCAAACAGAUAUAGGACAAGGCAUCCUCCAGCAAUGUCAUAAAUGCAAAAGCAACUAGGCGUGGUCCUUGACAUGCAUGGAUCCUUCAUUAAAGCAGUAGUAAAUUGUGGAGGUUAGUGAUGACUGAUGAGACUUACUGGACGCAGAGGAAGGCCCAAUGGACUCAAUGAACAAUUUGGAACAGGAACCAAUCUCUCCCUGGGAUGAUGAAACUUACAAACUGCACCAAACUUACAAUCUCCGGUCUUCAUAUAGAACUGGCAUUCUGGUUGGUCAGGCCUCUCAGGGAAUAUGUUCUCCCUCUGCAAGGCAUAAACACCCAUAGGGAUGGAGCCUGGUCGGUAGGAAGAAAAUGUUCCUUGAGCUCCUGCACCUGUUUCACUUUGGCGUGAUGUACCGUAAUACUGACCAGCACCUGGUGUUUGUUGUUGGCUGUCUGGAGAUGAAGACCCCAUCUGCCCCUGCAAAGAUCGAUUAAUACUAAUCAUGAUGGCAUUGCUAGCAAAUCACUUAUGCAAUCUUUUGAAUAUUAUGCUAAACAGAAAACAUAAAAAAUAAAAUUGAAUAGUUAAAUAGUAAAAUUGAUAAUUACUAGCAAACCCCCAAAAGCUAACAUGAAUAGCAAUACAUGAUGCACCCACCUAGAGAGACCCUUGACCACCUUAUUUGUGCAAUAUAUCCCAUGAAUGGAAAUCAAGGUAUGCUGAACUGACCGGAACCGGUCGGUUUAGCUGAUUGUAUCUUAAUUUGAAGAUAUUUUAUAUUAUUCAUCUCAUGAUUUGAAUCAUUUGGAAGUAACAAGAUGCAUCAUCUAGUUUAAACCUAAAACUUAAACAUAGAAACAUCAAAAAAAGAUUCAAAAGAGAGAGAACUCCCCAAAAAAAAUAACACCGAGGCCAAAACCCGGACGAACCAGCCAAACCGGUACUGUACCGGUUCGAUUCGGUACGGUACCGAUACCGGUGCCCACUGGUACGUCGGUACGGCGAACCUGAAAAUAUUCAUGAAAGAAGAAAUCAUAAGGUAUAGAAGUCAGAGAGAUAAGGAGGCAAGAAUGUAAAUUUCCAGAUGGAUUUUACAAUCCAGAAAAUCCAAGAUUGAGGGGAGCAAUGGCCAUCUUUGGUACUUCCAACGUAUCUUGUCCUUCACUCUCUCUUCAUUCCCUCCAGCAUGGGAGGUAUCACACGGAUAUGGCAUUGUGAUCUAAAUAGACUCUAAAGGAAGUAAAAGGGAUCCUAAGAUUACAGCAACAGAGCUAUUUAAUUCAGAUCGUAAAAUGGCAAUACGGCAUGAUAUAAGAUGUCAAAAUUUGUGUUAGUUAAUGCUUCAAAGCAUUAAUGAAUCAACCAUAUUCAUGGGGUUAGUGAUAUUUAGUCUCAUGCUCUUACCAACUAAUGAAGAAAAUAAAAGCAGGUAAAGUAACAUGGUGUCGAUUUAUAUCCCUCAGGCAUUCGAGAAGGAGAAAAUAAUUCAACAUGCCAUUAAUAAACAAAACAUAUCCCUUGGUACAGCAAUAAGCAGCCCCUUCAGCAGAUAAUAAGACAAAAAUAGUCAAGCAUAAGAGAGUUAGAUUAAUAGAAUUUCAAGAGGGGAAGUGAUCAAGACCAAGAUCGGAGAGGGACAUAACUUGGGAUUUCACUUGAAAUUUAGUUUUAGUUUGAUUUGCAGGAUCUUGCUUUUGUUUUCUUUAAUUUAGCUUUAAUGGGCCUUAUGAGUGUAAGGCUAAGCCUAAGUUACAUGAUCCUGAAGCCAUACUAGAUGAGGCAAUAGCAUGGCAUGAUGUAAUAAUAGAAGCCACAUCAGCCAUCAAGAGGUUAGUAAAAAAUUAAACAAUAGUACAAAACAAAACAAUGUAGAAACUAGAAAGUACUGUUCGCAGCACCGUUCAGACUACAGGUAACCAUGAAUAGUAACCUGCAUUAUGAAGGAUAUUGUAGGAAGUCCAAAAGACUGGUUAGCGUUUGUGCUUUCUUUAAAUAUAGGAUGUCGCACAAUCAGAUUUAUGCAACAUAUGAAUAAAAGAAUGCAUCUUUGGUUUCUUUUUUCCCCUUCUUGUGGCAUGAUUUUGUAAUGGAGGUGCGAGACCUUCAAACCCUAGGUGUGAUUCCUAGGUCAUGGAGUGAGUCCGGAAAUAUCCUGCCUCUUCUUUUACUACUUGCAACUGCCUUCAGUUUUUCUUCUGUUCAUUAUAUUCAAUUUUACGACUUUCUACCUUCAUUUUAGUUGCUGCUUGGAACUAAUCUGCUGCAGAACCAUACUAGACCCUCGUAGCCUGCAGACCUAAUAAUACAGAAAGCUAUUUCCUUGCCAUUGUACCACCGCUAGCCAUCUGUCGAAGGCAAACAGCCACUUGUCAGGGUCUAUUUUCAGGUCCCAUCAGGGCUAUUGACACGGCAAAUCAUAUUCUGAUAUUGUUGCGAACCUGACAUCCAUUACAACCUGUUGCUGAUCCCUGCAGCCCUAAUACCAGUUGCAUCUCAGAUCUGUAGUACUGUCGGAAAAAAUCUGUCGUUAUCUUUGUUACUACUUGAAUUUAUGCUUAUAAGCCACCAAGAGACCCCUCUUUCCAGCCAAAACAAAAAAAAUGGCUGAUUGCUCUGCUGUAUUUAGAAUACCAAACCUAUUAUUAAACUGGAAUUUUCAGCAACCUAUAGGUUCAAGCCUUGCUUCCUAGCCCCUAUAGACCCCCACCAUAGGCUGUCCUACAUCAGGAAAGUGUAGAAGAGAAGAAAAACAAAAAUUCUCUCACAGGUUAGAAAACACCCCACAGACUCAAGUAACAAGUCCUGCAGUUUAAAUCCUCAUAUCUUUCAAAUAUGCAGCCGUCAUGGAGAGAACUGACCUGAAUACACCUAUAAGAGAUCAGCCAUAGAUAUGCAUAGGCCAUCAAUUUGGAUCCAAAUUAUGCAAAAUCCUUAUAACUUAGCCUAGUAACCUGCCAAAACACAAUAAACCAGCAAUGAGACACAAACCAGACUCAUGUUGCAAUCUCUCCCUCUAGCUGAAACAAUAGGAUUCAAUUAAUAGUUCUCUCUCUUUCCAAAGGUCUUGUAAAUGUGUCCGUAACUUGACUGUACAAUAUGACAAAUGGCUGACUUUUUAAAACUUUUCCAUACAAUUUGAUUGUCUGUAUAAUACUCACCCUUCAUUUUGUACCAGUAUGGUGCCACACCAUAAAGCAUUGGCUCCAAUUCAAGCUGUUGCCCUAAAGGAUCACUUGCUUCCCAACUCUUCUUCCCCAAGUAACACAGCUUACUUGGAGAUCAGAUGAGACUGGAAUUCCCUAUCACCCACUGACCAUUGACCAAUCCACUAUGGAAUGUCUGGGUGAUAAUGAUCAAAAGGAUGUCAAUAAAAUAUAACAAUUGGUUGCAGACCAGCAGCAGUGACUUGCAACAUAAUAAAACCACUCCAUUUGAGGUUUAAUCAACAUCAAUCCUCCAACCAGAAGUCAAACCAUCAAUCUAUGAAUCCCCAAAAUCCAUUUGACAAAGUUCUUAAUUAAGCUAUUAAAAAACAGCAGUGAGAAGAACCAUUACUAAAUAAGUUUAAAAAUCUAAAUCAAGGUCCACAAAACUAGUAUUGAGAACCGUACUAAUAUAUUACCGGUUCGGUACAGUACAGUACACAUCAGGCAUUAAGACAGGUUUCCAGCGCUUUUGCUCACACCUAGCCACCAUACAGUCCGAAACUGAGCAAUACAGAUUAGUACUGGGCGGUACAAGACAGUUCCAUUCGGUUCGGAUAUAUGGACCGUGUCGGCUCAUAUACCAAAUCAAACCUCAGAAGAAGAACCAUACUGAUAUAGCAUGGAACGGUUGGUGCAGGAUGAUAUGGGUCGGUAUGCAAACCUUAACUAUAAUAGUUGUAGUGAACUUCAUCAAAGAACUUAAUGUGUUGACAUUUUAAAUUGGAUGGAAGCCCAUAAAACUAUUUCAAGUUGUAUAAAUCCGAUAGGUUGCUUGCCAAAAUAGAGCAGAAGCAAACCUAUAGUUAAAGUAGAAACAUAAUAAAUUGCAUUCUUUAAUUAGAUCAUACACCUAUAAUGUACUAGGAGAUAUUGAUGCAAUUGAAUGAGGUAAGACUGCAAUUUUCUUCUUCAUUUUUCUUCCUCUUUAGUUGAAGCUAGAGACCGGCUAAGGAUGAAGGUACUAAAGCCCUUGAUCUUGAAAGUCCUCAAGUUGAUCAAAGAAGGAAAAAUCAAAAAGGUUCAGCUGAUGGAAGGCAUAGAUCCAGGUGUAUGACAAUAGUCCUCACUCCUCACAAUGAAACUUCAAUUAGGGGAUUGAAUUAGCAUGCUAGUUUAAGUUUAAAAUGCAUCUAUCUUCAUGUGAUAAGGAUAUGACGACCAAUUAUUAGUAUACAAAAACUUACAUGAUGUGCAAAAAUUUAGCACAGAUCAUGGUUGGGUUCAGUUUGGUGACAAUUGUGUUGUGGGCAAACAUUGGAAUAAUGCAGUUAAAAGAAUUUAUGAUAAGACUUUUGUGAGUGUGGGAUCAUUUAUAUAUUAUAUAUAUGAAAAAUAAAAUAAAAUAUAAUAUGAGCACUCUAGUUAGGUUAAGUCUAGGACUCUACACGACAGGAGCAAUAAAAAAAAGAAAAGCAUAAGAACCUUACCAAGUCCAAGUUGAUGUCCACAUCAAUAUUCAACUAUUUGAGCAAUCAAAUCAAAGUCAAACAUCAACAAAAAAAUAUGACAGUUUCAUGUAGAACAGAACAGAUGAUAUAACACUAUAUAUGAGAGUUUUCAAGAUGACUUGAUGAUCAUAAAAUAAAAUAUUAGCUUCCUAGUUAGGUCUAUGAGUGUUAUCAUUAAGUCUAGCACUGCACAUGACAGGAGCAAUAAAAAAAGCACAAGAAGCUUACCAAGGCCAAGUUGAUGUCCACAUUAAUAUUCAGCUAUUUGAGCAAUCAAAUCAAAGUCAAACAUCAACAAAGAAUACAAAAGUCUUUCUUAGAACAGAACAGAUGAUAUAACACUAUAAUAUGAAGUCCUCAAGGUGACGUGAAGAUCUAUUAUGCAAGAACUAGUUGAUACUUUAAAUUUCACAUUAUGUAUUAUUCUUAUGCUUAUACUUAUUUUUCUAGCUCCCAGUAAAAUGUCUGACAAAAAAAUUCUGCUAGACUUUAAGAAACCAAAUAUAAAUAUGCCAACAAAACAAAAGAAAAUAGAGAAUCAAAGCAAGAAAAUUGUAUGUAGGAACAUGAUAAGCACAUACUGGAAAGUACAAGGAUAGCUAACCCUUAGUGGGACACUUCCUAUCACCUUUCUUUUCCCUUUUCGUCUGGUUGUCAUCUAUUUUUUUUUAAUUUCUCGUUCUUAUUCAUAUUCGUACUCUCUCUGUGAAAAAAUAAUGAAAAAGUAAAGAAAGAAAAGAGAGAUCUUGGAGGUUAACUUCAUUUAAUUCUCUCCCAUGAAAUAAAGAUACGUAGGUUAAAUGGAUUUUUUCACCCUUUAACUGAAUAACUUGAUCCGCCACUUUUUGCUAAUGUUUUGGCUCGUUAAGGUGAUAACCUCCCCUUAUUUACCAUGUAACUGCUAACCAAACACAGCCUCUGUGUGUUUGAGAUAGAGAGUUUGGGUAAGGGGAGCGUUGGAGAUGGGGAAGUAUGGCUAGUUAGUUUUUAAACAAGGCAUACAGUUUAUAAGUAGAUUAAAUAAAGAGAAAUAAUCUGACAAAUGUAGAAUAAACCAAUUCCAGGCAGAAACUAUAAUGGUUACAGGUUCAAAAUUUGGAGAUAUGGAAUGGCGUGUAAGCUGCAUUCAUAAAGAUGAUAAAGAAUAAAUAUNNNNNNNNNNCACACACACACACACACACACACACACACACACACACACACACACACACACACACACACACACACAUAGAGAGAGAGAGAGAGAGAGAGAGAGAGAGAGAGGCAAAAAAAACAACGAAAAGGAAUGAUUUGAUACCAAUGAAAAAAUUAAGAUAGGAUAGAAUAAACAAUGACAAAUAAUGCACAUAUGUUGACAAUCAUUUGUAUCCUUUUCUAGUUUAAUUACAUGAAAAAGGAAAGAGGAAAAACUUAAGACAUGUUCUAAUCUUCCCCAUGCCAUUUAGUGAAAGGGCACCAAAGGAAAAGAGUUCUCUUAACCAAGGUUAGCUGAACUGGUACCGACGCCCGUGCCAGUCAGCUACCAGUUUGGUACGGUGUUGGUUCGGUACGGGCUGAACCGUUCAAUAGACCAUGAUUCAAGUUUUUUUAAAAAGGUGGGGGGCCCUAACCGGUCCAACUCCGAGCCGCCCAGUUUGUAGCAAAUCGGAGUGGUUCAGGGCGGUUUAAGGGAGGGUUCAAAAUUUAGGGUCGAACCGAACCAGUGGGAAAAGGGUGAAUUGGGUGGUUUGCCCUGGUUCGGCAAACCUUGCUCUUAACCUUAAAGCAUUAAUGUUGACUAGAAUUGCAAUCACACAAUUUGAGACAAAAAAUGAUCUUAAGUCUAGCAUCCCUCAUUCAAAUCUUUCAAGCUUUAUUGAAUCCAUAUAAUCAAUUAUUUUUGUGGCUUUUGCACUAUUAUUUAUAUUUCAGUGAGCAUAAAGGUUGGAGAAGCUGCAAGCAUAAACAGAUUCAGCACAAGAAAAACACGCAGAUGAGCAAUCUUCUUGGAAUUUUACACAUCCAGUUCAUACCAAAGACAACUAAAUGGUGUUGAAUAAUUUUGUUGUUGCAUAAUCCUUGACAUCUAGGUUCUUCUAGAAUACAUAUUCUCCUAUACAAAAUAGCUACAUGACAUACUUAAAACCACUUGCCAAUAUAGCUGCCAUGAAGUUUGAAGGGAAGAGAUAAUAUAAAAGCAAAACAAAGAAGAAAUUAGAUAAUAUAUCAUAUCUCUCUCCAUGAAUCACGCAUUUUUAAACAGGCAGAAGAAAAGGCCGAGCAAGACUUACAGGAUAUGGAUUCCACCCAGGAACUUGAACCAACCCCUGAGGAAGAAUCAAUUGAGCAUAACUUGAAGGAUCUUGCCAUCGAGGGCUUGGAAUGAAAGAAGUUCUUGACAAGGACCAGUUUGUCAAUCCCCCAGGAUAAGAUUGCUGCCCAGGGGUUGUGGGAGAAUGUACAGGAGGAUAAACAGGAGAGCCACGUAAAUCAACCAUCGCAUUAGAUGGUUGUGGAUGGUGAAAUUUACAAGUGUUCCCAAACUUACACUGUCCAGUUCUUAGAUAAUAAGCACAUUCCUUCUCAUUCUACAACAGGAAAAUUAGAAACAAACGGUCAACAACAGCCAAUCAUGACAAAGAAAUAUAAAACAUACAAGGUAAAAUAGCGUAGAUAUACGAUAAUCAUCACUGCCACUUAAGAACUAAUACACUUAAAUGAUAGGAAAAUUAGAAACAAAUGGUCAACAACAGCCAAUCAUGACAAAGAAAUAUAAAACAUACAAGGUAAAAUAGCGUAGAUAUACGAUAAUCAUCACUGCCACUUAAGAACUAAUACACUUAAAUGAUAGGAAAAGAGGAAAGCAGAAGCAUAAAAGAUAAAUCAAAUGAUGCACACAAACCGGC